GCCCGGUUAGCUCAAUCGGUAGAGCGUGAGACUCUUAAUCUCAAGGUUGCGGGUAAGUUCCAAAGAUUUACCACAGCUCAUAGACACAAGCUAACAUACCCUCAAAGGUUCGACCCCCGCAUCGGGCU